GGUUUGCAUAUUGCCCACACAGAUGAUGCUUGAAGAUGCAUAUUCGCUGGCUGAGAGGAGACGCUCUCCCAACCCCUUAUUAAUGCCAAUAAUAGAGGAUCCGAAGAUGGAGCUGAAAACAUUCCUCCUGCCCCUGCGUUUAGGCCUGUUAACUGCAUUUCACCCAAGCGCUGAGGUAAAUAUUUUUUUCACCAUGAAGAGUUUUCCCUCCAUCUGUUUCCUCUUUAAGUUUGACCUGUCUGUGUUUAAACCGUUUUUAAAAAACUAACAUUUAAAAAAAAAAGAAAGAAGAAAAAGAAGGAAGAGAAAGAUUUUUUAAGAAAGGCUACCUGAUUGGACUUCUUUAGAUAUUUAAAUAUGCCCUUGAAGCAAGGUCAAGCCAACGUUUACACUUUUUUGGAGCGUUUGGCUCUUAAAUGGCAGCACACACCUAAUCAUGCUUGAAGUUGUCUCCACAGUUGCAGUGUAAGGUACAACACAAGCCUUCAGGGUGUUUAGCGUUGCUGUUGUGAGAGGAAAAGUGUUUAAAGUCAUUAAUCAAAGCAAAGGAAGUUAUCAGUCAACAGUCAAAAAUGCAAGAAGCACAAUAAAGUAAUUUGCAAAAAGGCCAUUAGUUAUCCAUGGCCUGCUUUCUGUCAUUUCAGCAGCUUAAUAAAACUAUAUAUUUAUGUCAGCAUGCCAUUUUUGAACAAAUUCUAUGUGAUCACAUUAAUAAAGCUGAGUACAGAAAUUGACAGAAAAAUACUUAUUUUUAAUAACAGUAGCUGCAUGCCUCACUUUUACAUUGCUAAAUUAUAAAACACUGUUAAAUUAUUAUAAAAGAGUUGAACUUACUCAUUGCUACUCAUAUCCUACAAGGCCAUAAGUGCAAUGCCAACAAUCUGCCAUUACACAUUUUGUCACUGUGUUCCCCCCCUCCUCAAUUUCUAUCAUUUUAAACAUCUCCAAAACCAUAAAGCUGUUUAUUCACAACAUUUUGGUUUCUUUGUUUUACUUAAUAAGAAAUAUAAACACUAUUAUAUGGGUGUGCCAUGACCUAGUUAAGACAAAGAUGGAUUCCCAGGCAGAGUAAAAAAAAAGGCUCAAAAUGUCACAGGGUAUUACAUCCAGUACAUUCUCUUCCUUCUUCUCAAUCCUUUAAAAGGAGGAAUCAUAGUUUUAUCAUAGUCCGUGAGAGAUGAGGAAAUCAAGUGUAAGAUCCCUUUUGGAACAAAGGAAACCCAUAUAGGCCAUUGAGUCCCUGUUUUAAGGAAAAUGGCUGCCGAGAGCGCUC
ensembl:lncRNA